rnacentral:rRNA from 2 species
AACGCGAAGAACCUUACCCAGGCUUGACAUCCUCUGACAGCCGUAGAAAUACGGUUUUCAUAGCAAUAUGACAGAGAGACAGGUGCUGCAUGGCUGUCGUCAGCUCGUGCCGUGAGGUGUUGGGUUAAGUCCCGCAACGAGCGCAACCCUCGUCGUGUGUUGGUUCCGCAAGGGCCUCUCAUGCGAGACCGCCGGUGAGAAGUCGGAGGAAGGUGGGGAUGACGUCAAGUCAGCAUGGCCCUUACGUCUGGGGCUACACACGUGCUACAAUGGGUGCGACAACGAGUUCCAAGCUCGCGAGGGUAAGGCAAUCUCUUAAACGCAUCCUCAGUUCGGAUUGAAGGCUGCAACUCGCCUUCAUGAAGUCGGAAUCGCUAGUAAACGCAGAUCAGCUACGCUGCGUUGAAUACGUUCCCGGGCCUUGUA